UUAUCCAGUUGGCUGCUGCGGAGCAGGAGCGCGCCCGGGCGGUGAUCUCGGUGUGACAGCUCAGAGCUGUCCACGUCAACACACCGAGCGAGCGAGCACGGCGGCGGCAGCGAUGGACUCCACGUCUCUGGAACCUACCCUUUACACAGUGAAAGCUGUUUUCAUUCUUGACAAUGAUGGCAACAGACUUCUGUCAAAGUACUAUGAUCCUGGGCUUUACCCCUCCAUGAAGGAACAGAAGAACUUUGAGAAGAACAUUUUCAACAAGACACACAAAGGAGACCAUGAGAUAGCUUUCCUGGAGGGGAUGACUAUCGUCUAUAAGAGCAGUAUAGAUCUCUUCUUCUAUGUGGCAGGAAGUGCUCAGGAGAACGAGCUGAUGCUGAUGUCAGUCCUGAACUGCCUGUUUGAGUCCCUCAGUCAGAUCCUCAGGAAAAAUGUGGAGCGGAGGUAUUUACUGGACAACAUGGAAGGAGUGUUACUGGUUGUGGACGAAAUCAUUGAUGGAGGGGUGAUUUUGGAGAGUGACCCCCAGCAGGUCCUGCAGAAGGUCAACUAUAGGCUAAUGUCAGAGCCAGCCUAUGGCUUUGUCCUGUUUGAUUACAUCACCAGUAACGUAGAGGGACAAACAGACAAGAGCCAGCUGCUGUAGACAGACAGGCAGAGGGCGGAUGAAAACCCAUUAUCUGAACACAGCGUGGCCCAGCACAUAACAGAGAAACUGGCUCUGACUACUAACGUUCUGCAGUCAGCCAAGGAGCAGAUCAAAUGGUCCAUACUGAAAUGACUGGGCACAGACACAUUUAGGAUUCCCAAGAAAGGUCCAGAGCUAUUUUUUAUUAUAGCCCAGGCUAAAGGGAAAGUGGUUACCGGUACAAGCCUGUUGGUCAAGAGGCUGCUUAUAUAGCAAAUACCCAGCCAGUAAUAGGAUUUCUUUCUAUGUGUAAUGGCCUUUUGUUACAUUGUGUGUGACAUGUAAUUAAUUUAUUUGGUUUGAGAGUUAUGUUAGUUCAUACUCUAGAUGUGUCAUUUAACAGGCCAUAUACAACAGGAAAUGAAAGGAAAGUGUCCAGCUGUGCUUCCACAAAGGACAGUUAUUAUCAAUGAAGAUACUGGAAGCCUGGUUAGUGAACAACAAUAUAUUGCUUGGUGGAGCAGGAUCUUCAGCUCCUGUUUACUCGAAACUGAAUUUGAUUGUAGGAUUUAUUUCAGCUGUUUUGCAUAUUGCUGAUAUGUACAACUUUCCCCUAAAAAAUGUUACAAUCUAUUUAAGGAAAUACACAUUCCUAUCAAUCUUACAUUAAUCUGGGAAAUCAGAAUAGACACAGAAAAAUAACACUACAAUUCAAGCUAAAAGGGUGAUUAUCACAUAAGAAGAGAAAAGUGCUGAACCAUGUCAUUUAACAAGGUAUAAGUUAAAUUCACUCACUGACAUAAUUUUUGCACUGAAGUGCUCCGUUUAAUAAAGUUUGUUGUUGGGAUUGUGCUUUGUACAGCUUAUUAAAGGAAUGUAAUGAUGCCUUAUGACACAAAACAAAUGUUGGCACCAUGUGUAAGAGGCAACAUGUUACUGUGGCAGUUAAACCUUAUUCUCCUGAAAGUGGAAUUCUCAUGAAGGUAAAUAUGGAUCUGUACAUAUAAUUGAUCUUAAGAGUCAAAGGGACGUUGAAGGUUAUGAAAUACCGAGGAUGAUUUUGUGAAAAGAGUUAUAAAGAGUAAUAUCUAUUUUCUGAGAGAUAAAGAUGUUGAUAGGUAUUAAAUAUUUUCUUAGUUGAAAAAAAAAAGCCAAAGACAUUUCGUUUACAUUUGGAUGUUGAAACAUUGUGAUGGAGGGCCUUCUGUCUGUCCGCCAUUUGUGAGACUGACAUUUGUCUGAUAAUAAAACAUUUGUCUUCUUA